CUCCAAUAGCGUAUAUUAAAGUUGUUGCAGUUAAAAAGCUCGUAGUUGAAUUUCGGGAUCAAUAUAUCGGUCGUGCCUUUGGUACGUACUGGUAUCAUUGAUUUCUCCUUUCUGACGAAUCAUGAUGUCAUUAAUUUGGUGUUAUGAGGAGUUAGGACUGUUACUUUGAAAAAAUUAGAGUGUUUAAAGCAGGCAUUAGCUUGAAUACAUUAGCAUGGAAUAAUGAAAUAGGACGUUUGACCCUAUUUUGUUGGUUUUUAGGAUCGACGUAAUGAUUAAUAGGGAUAGUUGGGGGCAUUAGUAUUCAAUUGUCAGAGGUGAAAUUCUUGGAUUUAUUGAAGACUAACUACUGCGAAAGCAUUUGCCAAGGAUGUUUUCAUUAAUCAAGAACGAAAGUUAGGGGAUCGAAGACGAUCAGAUACCGUCGUAGUCUUAACCAUAAACUAUGCCGACUAGGGAUCGGAUGAUGUUAAUUUUAUAA
rnacentral:rRNA from 1 species